AAAGCGCGCGUAGGUGGUUUGUUAAGUUGGAUGUGAAAUCCCCGGGCUCAACCUGGGAACUGCAUUCAAAACUGACUGACUAGAGUAAGGUAGAGGGUGGUGGAAUUUCCUGUGUAGCGGUGAAAUGCGUAGAUAUAGGAAGGAACACCAGUGGCGAAGGCGACCACCUGGACUAAUACUGACACUGAGGUGCGAAAGCGUGGGGAGCAAACAGGAUUAGAUACCCUAGU
rnacentral:rRNA from 1 species